CAGGGUUAGGUGGUGUUAGGUGGUGUUAUGUCAGGAUUAGGUCAGGGUUAGGUGGUGUUAGGUCAGGGUUAGGUGGUGUUAUGUCAGGAUUAGGUCAGGGUUAGGUGGUGUUAGGUCAGGGUUAGGUGGUGUUAUGUCAGGAUUAGGUCAGGGUUAGGUGGUGUUAGGUCAGGGUUAGGUGGUGUUAUGUCAGGAUUAGGUCAGGGUUAGGUGGUGUUAGGUCAGGGUUAGGUGGUGUUAUGUCAGG